rnacentral:rRNA from 1 species
GUGGAUUAGAUACCCUGGUAGUCCACGCCCUAAACCAUGUCAACUGGGUGUUCGGGAAGCGAUUUCUGAGUACCGUAGCUAACGCGUGAAGUUGACCGCCUGGGGAGUACGGCCGCAAGGUUAAAACUCAAAGGAAUUGACGGGGACCCGCACAAGCGGUGGAUGAUGUGGAUUAAUUCGAUGCAACGCGAACAACCUUACCUACCCUUGACAUGUCCGAGAGCCUGCUGAGAGGCGGGUGUGCCCGAAAGGGAAUCGGAACACAGGUGCUGCACGGCCGUCGACAACU